CCCCUCUCAGGGUCGCACUUGGAGAGUUUCCAGUACUCUACCAGUCUCAACUAUGGGAGGGACAGUCAAGCAAAGGCAUAUUCAUUCCAUUUAUAGCUUGGACAGUGGCUAGCGAGUGGAAGGUAAUCUGCUACAAGU